UGUCAUUUGUGGUGUAUUUAUUUAUGUAUAAAGCUAACCUGACAAGGAUGGACGCUUUAGGAUAUUUUAGGAGAUUUGGCAGUAGCUCAGGUGGUUGGCAGUAGCCUGCCAGCUAUUAAAUGGUUCUGAAUAUAUGGAGACUUGUAAUUUCCUUCUCCAAGAGGCUUUGCCAAAGAGACCAGGCCAUGUGGCAUAAUCCCUGAGCACACAUUGGCAUAAGCAGGAGCUCUGUUUGUGCAAAUGGAUUCUUGGAACCAAUCAGACGAGCGUGUUGUUUCAUCUUUUGGCCCAAUACUAUAAACUGGCACAAAUAACACUCCCCCUGCCAUGCACCAAAGUUCAGAAUAAUAAAUCAGCCGCCCUGUAAUUAUAUUGGGAGAGCCAGCUUUAUUCUCUGAGUGAGCAGCUUGAUGUAUCUGUUUAGACGGGAUGCCUAGGGCUCUCUGGGAGCCUGGGCCGACUUCCUAGAGUCCAGGCGGGGCGGGCCCUGCCCCAGAUCCCCGGGUGUAGAGGUGAGCUCCCGCUGUGUCGGUCUGCUGGGACUAAACUGGUUUGCAAACCUGUCUGGCUCCUCUGAGAGGUCCAUAGCUGUCAAAAAUAAAGCGAAGCCAUGGGCUGGGGAUGGCAGGAAGAUCCAAGCUCAUUCACCAGAACGCGCAGCAGAAAGGGAGGCUGAAAGCCUUCCUUCCCGAGUGAUAGCAUUCGAGGACAGUCCUGGACAGGGAAGGUUGGACCAGGUAUUACUGUGACUCAGGAAGCCCAGGUUCAAGGGCGUAGACCCCGAUCUUGAGCGGCCUCCACGAUCACAGGUUAUUUAUUUCGUGUGCCAGCAACUGCUUUUUAAAAAUUGCCAGGCCACGUGGCGACUGGCGUAGUGACAUCUGGGGUGCAAUUACUUCGGAUUCUGUUUUUCUUCCUUCCCCAUAAAAUAAUUGCAGCGCACCGCAAACAAGAGUUAAACUCGAUGGUAGCAUAUGGUGACUUUGAUGUGUCGCCGUGUCCUUCCUGCAGGUUUUAACAUGUAUGUGCUCGACGAUGACACGCAGUUUUAUCACGUGUUGUCACGGCGAUGGUGUGCAAACACAUGAUACCUGGGCAGGAGGCAGCCCAGCCCCGGGGUCAAGUCUCCG
rnacentral:lncRNA from 12 species